rnacentral:tRNA from 1 species
GUGGAUGUCGCGGAGGCGGUUGCGGCUGGCCUCGUCGAGGGGGGCCGCCUUCACCUCCUCGAGGAGCUGGCGGAUCAUCCCGCCGAUCCGCA